UUUCGUGUGCUCCACCGCACUGGUGGCGACAUCAUGUAUUCGCCGGAGAUGGCAAGUAAAAUAGUGGUCCUGUGCGCAAUACUCCAUAAUAUCGCGGUAAGGAGUAGUGUAGAGCUUCCUCAGGCAGAGGAAUUGCCUGAUGAGGAGCCAGGGGUUGUGCCACGCUUCGGUGGGGGGAGUGUGACACGGAGGGGGAGCCAAGUGAGGGCAAGAAUUGUAGCAGAAUAUUUCAGCUGAAUGAUCACACGAACUGUGGACAACAACAACGGCAAAACUCCCCACCCCCUUCCCCUUCUCACUCCCCCUCCCCUUCUCACUCCCCCUCCCCUUCUCACUCCCCCUCCCCUUCUCACUCCCCCUCCCCUUCUCACUCCCCCUCAGCUUCCCAGUCCCCCUCAGCUUCCCAGUCCCCCUCAUCUUCCCAGGCCCCAUCAGCUUCCCUGGCCCACUCCACUUUACAUUCCCCUUCUCACCACACCUCUCCAUCUCUUUCUGGGACCCCUUCUCCUCCUUCCCAUACCCCUUCUCCUUCAAAAUCAACAUCACAAUCUGAACCACCCUCACCCUCUAUUGCUUUAACUUUUUCUCCGCCCCCCUCGCCCUCUCAAUCAGACCCCCCCUCUGAAAUUGCGGACCAAAUCCAGCCUCCUUCCCCCAUCCAGCCUCCUUCCCCAAUCCCUCCUCCUUCCCCAAUCCCUCCUCCUUCCCCAAUCCCUCCUCCUUCCCCCAUCCAGCCGCCUUCCCCCAUCCAGCCAACAUCCCCACCAAGUGAAUGGGCAGAGGAAGCCCCUGCCGAACGUUCCGGGAGUCUGGAUGUUGCCGUGGAAAAUGUUGCAGUUGGAGAUCCCACAAGUUUUUCAGGGAUACUUUACACCAUGCGCCAACACCUGCAAGGAAUGAUGGAUUGUGUGGACCAUUUGCAAAAAUUUGCUUG